AAUGCUGAAAGAUUUGACGAGUUUUGCCAUUUCUGAACAUAUUCAUUCAGGGAAACAAGCCAUCUUGCAACAGCCAGUUCUACUCCAAUAAUAGAACACUGUCACAUUUCGCACGUCUUGCAAAGAUCUACAAAGCAUGGAAGUUUUACAGGAUUCAACUAGUUAAGGUAAUAUACGAUCACAGUUUGGUUUUUCAAAAUAAAAAAUUUAAACCAAAAGAUCUAAGAAAUAGUACCUUGUUGAAUUACACAGGAAGCCUGUCAGAAAGGGCUACCAAUUUGUCGACAUCUCUUCCUUCACUAUCCAGAAGAUGAACAUGUACAU
rnacentral:lncRNA from 1 species